rnacentral:rRNA from 1 species
AUUGAACGCUGGCGGCAGGCCUAACACAUGCAAGUCGAACGGUAACAGGAAGCAGCUUGCUGCUUUGCUGACGAGUGGCGGACGGGUGAGUAAUGUCUGGGAAACUGCCUGAUGGAGGGGGAUAACUACUGGAAACGGUAGCUAAUACCGCAUAACGUCGCAAGACCAAAGAGGGGGACCUUCGGGCCUCUUGCCAUCGGAUGUGCCCAGAUGGGAUUAGCUUGUUGGUGGGGUAACGGCUCACCAAGGCGACGAUCCCUAGCUGGUCUGAGAGGAUGACCAGCCACACUGGAACUGAGACACGGUCCAGACUCCUACGGGAGGCAGCAGUGGGGAAUAUUGCACAAUGGGCGCAAGCCUGAUGCAGCCAUGCCGCGUGUAUGAAGAAGGCCUUCGGGUUGUAAAGUACUUUCAGCGGGGAGGAAGGGAGUAAGUUAAUACCUUUACUCAUUGACGUUACCCGCAGAAGAAGCACCGGCUAACUCCGUG